AGAGUUUGAUCCUGGCUCAGGAUGAACGCUAGCGGGAGGCCUAACACAUGCAAGUCGAGCGGGAAUUUCUUUUGGGAGAUGAGAGCGGCGCACGGGUGAGUAACGCGUAUGCAACCUGCCCCGGACAGGGGGAUAGCCCGGAGAAAUCCGGAUUAAUACCCCGUAUUAUAUAAAUUUCGCAUGGGAAUUAUAUAAAAGCUCAGGCGGUUCGGGAUGGGCAUGCGUGACAUUAGCUGGUUGGUGAGGUAACGGCUCACCAAGGCUACGAUGUCUAGGGGUUCUGAGAGGAUGAUCCCCCACACUGGUACUGAGACACGGACCAGACUCCUACGGGAGGCAGCAGUGAGGAAUAUUGGUCAAUGGGCGCAAGCCUGAACCAGCCAUCCCGCGUGAAGGAAGACGGCCCUACGGGUUGUAAACUUCUUUUAUACAUGAAGAAUAGUACCUACGCGUAGGUACCUGCCGGUAGUGUAUGAAUAAGCAUCGGCUAACUCCGUGCCAGCAGCCGCGGUAAUA
rnacentral:rRNA from 1 species